rnacentral:snRNA from 1 species
GUGCUCGCUUCAGCAGCACAUACACUAUUAAUAAAAUUGUAAUAAUACAGAGAAGAUUAUCAAAGCCCCUACACAAGAAUGACAUGCAAAUUCGUGAAGUAUUCCAUAUUUUU